GUGCUCACUUAGGUAGCAAAUAUUUUAAAAUUGGAAUGAUACCAAGAAGAUUAACAUAACCUGGGUGCAAAAAAGGUAGGAAAAUUUGUGAAGCAUUCAAUAUUGUU